rnacentral:tRNA from 1 species
AGGACGGACCCGCGUGUUGCUAACACGCCACCCCCAGA